UUUCCGUAGGUGAACCUGCGGAAGGAUCAUUAUUGUAUAACCGAGGUGCGAGGCCUGUCGUGAACCCGAGAGGACGUGCACGCCCGCCUGCCCUCACACACACCCAUGUCACCCUUGUGUGCACCACCGGCUGGGUCCCCCUUUGGCUUGUUCGGAGGGGGGCUUACGUUUGCACACAAACUUUGUAUGCAGUGUAGAAUGUAUUUUUUGUUUUUGUGCUAACGCAAUAAAUACAACUUUCAACAACGGAUCUCUUGGCUCUG
rnacentral:misc_RNA from 1 species